UAAAAGAUAAGCUAAGAAAGCUAAUGGGCUCAUACCCCGUCAAUGAAAAUAAAUAUUUCUCUUUUUA
rnacentral:tRNA from 1 species